UACGUAGGGGGCUAGCGUUGUCCGGAAUUACUGGGCGUAAAGCGCACGUAGGCGGAUUUGUAAGUCAGGGGUGAAAUCCCGGGGCUCAACCUCGGAACUGCCUUUGAUACUGCAAGUCUCGAGUCCGAUAGAGGUGGGUGGAAUUCCUAGUGUAGAGGUGAAAUUCGUAGAUAUUAGGAAGAACACCGGUGGCGAAGGCGGCCCACUGGAUCGGUACUGACGCUGAGGUGCGAAAGCGUGGGGAGCAAACAGG
rnacentral:rRNA from 1 species